rnacentral:rRNA from 1 species
UACGAAGGGGGCUAGCGUUGCUCGGAAUUACUGGGCGUAAAGCGCACGUAGGCGGCUUUCUAAGUCGGGGUGAAAUCCCGGGGCUCAACCCCGGAACUGCCUUUGAUACUGGGUGUCUUGAGUCCGGAAGAGGUGAGUGGAAUUGCGAGUGUAGAGGUGAAAUUCGUAGAUAUUCGCAGGAACACCAGUGGCGAAGGCGGCUCACUGGUCCGGU